rnacentral:rRNA from 1 species
AGCGAAAGCGGAUGUGGAUUGUACACAGUGAGAAUGCCGGAAUAAGUAGCGCGAAUGAUGUGAGAAUCAUCAUGGCCGAAAGCCUCAGGUUUUUGGAGGAAGGUUCGUCCGCUCCAAGUUAGCCGGGAGCUAAGGUGAGGCCGAAAGGCGUAGCCGAUGCACAUACGGUAGAGGGUCCGUAGCCGCCGAAAGAUUUAAGCAGGGGGACACAUUUGAAGUGUUGGUGCCGGGUGUUGGUUUACCCGGUCGAAAGGGACUGAAAUUUAGUAGGGAAGUCCAGCAUGGAGAGUGGCGAGAAAAGCCCUGUGUAUAUCUAAGGCGCCCGUACCGCAAACCGACACAGGUAGGUAGGAAGAAGAUUCUAAGGCCAACGGGAGAAGGGUUGUUAAGGAACUCGGCAAGUUGACCCCGUAACUUCGGGAGAAGGGGUGCUCAUGAAAGUGAGCCGCAGAGAAUAGGCCCAAGCAACUGUUUAGCAAAAACACAGGUCUGUGCUAAAUCGAAAGAUGACGUAUACGGGCUGACACCUGCCCGGUGCUGGAAGGUUAAGGGGAUGUGUGCAAGCACUGAACCGAAGCCCCAGUAAACGGCGGCCGUAACUAUAACGGUCCUAAGGUAGCGAAAUUCCUUGUCAGGUAAGUUCUGACCCGCACGAAUGGUGUAAUGAUUUGGGCACUGUCUCAACAGCCCGCCCGGCGAAAUUGUAGUACCGGUGAAGAUGCCGGUUUCCCGCGACAAGACGGAAAGACCCCAUGGAGCUUUACUGCAGCCUAAUAUUGGGUUUCGAUAUUACAUGUACAGGAUAUGUGGGAGACAUGGAAGCACGGGCGUCAGCCUGUGUGGAGUCAGCCUUGGGAUACCACACUUGUGAUAUUGGAAUUCUAACCUGCGGCCCUGAAUCGGGUCGGGGGACAUUGUUAGGCGGGCAGUUUGACUGGGGCGGUCGCCUCCGAAAAAGUAACGGAGGCGUUCAAAGGUUGGCUCAGCUUGGACGGAAACCAAGCCAAAGAGUGCAAACGCAUAAGCCAGCCUAACUGCGAGACUGACGGGUCGAGCAGUAACGAAAGUUGGAGUUAGUGAUCCGGCGGUAUGUGAGUGGAAAUGCCGUCGCUCAACGGAUAAAAGUUACCCUGGGGAUAACAGGCUGAUCUCCCCCAAGAGUCCACAUCGACGGGGAGGUUUGGCACCUCGAUGUCGGCUCAUCGCAUCCUGGGGCUGUAUUCGGUCCCAAGGGUUUGGCUGUUCGCCAAUUAAAGCGGUACGCGAGCUGGGUUCAGAACGUCGUGAGACAGUUCGGUCCCUAUCUGUCGUGGGCGCAGGAUAUUUGACAGGAUCUGUCCCUCCUCCCAGAGGACCGGGAUGGACGCACCUCUGGUGCACCAGUUGUCACGCCAGUGGCACAGCUGGGCAGCUAUGUGCGGAUCGGAUAAACGCUGAAAGCAUCUAAGCGUGAAGCCGGCCUGGAGAUAAGAUAUCCCACUGAGAUAAUCAGGUAAGACCCCUUGAAGACUACAAGGUUGAUAGGCU